GGGAGGCAACGGCGGCGGCGGCGGCGGCGGAAGUUGGCAGCGCCGCUCCGUCCGGAACGCCGGCGGCGAAGAGGAAGAGGAGGAGGAAGACGAGCAAACGGAAAGAUGGAGACGUCUCUGGACAGGCGGCGAGCGGCGAUGGCGUGGAUCAGCCGCUUGCUCCGGAGGGCGGCUCGGUCGGCGCGGGGGGUGGUGAUGACGACGCUGCCUCCUCGGAAACGGUUCCUGGAAGGGGCUGCGAGGUUCGUGCGGGGGUCGCCGAGAAGAAGACGAGGAAGAGGCGGCGGAGACGGAACGACGAGGAGAAGGAGGCGGAGCAGAAGGAGACGGAAGAAGCGCCGGACGGGAAGGCGGCGCAGGAAAAGAAAAAAGUCAGGAAAUCGAAGAAGAUAAAAGUCAAAAACGAUCACGGCGACCGUGAUGGAGACGGCCAGGAGGAGCCUGCCCCGGACUUCACUUGGUACGAGAAAGAGAAUGG